GAUGAACGCUGGCGGCGUGCCUAAUACAUGCAAGUCGAGCGAACGGACGAGAAGCUUGCUUCUCUGAUGUUAGCGGCGGACGUGUGAGUAACACGUGGAUAACCUACCUAUAAGACUGGGAUAACUUCGGGAAACCGGAGCUAAUACCGGAUAAUAUUUUGAACCGCAUUGUUCAAAAGUGAAAGACGGUCUUGCUGUCACUUAUAGAUGCAUCCCCGCUGCAUUAGCUAGUUGGUAAGUUAACGGCUUUCCAAGGGAACGAUGCAUAGCCGACCUGAGAGGGGGAUCGGCCACCCGGGAACUGGGACACGGUCCAGACUCCUACGGGAGGCAGCAGUAGGGAAUCUUCCGCAAUGGGCGAAAGCCUGACGGAGCAACGCCGCGUGAGUGAUGAAGGUCUUCGGAUCGUAAAACUCUGUUAUUAGGGAAGAACAUAUGUGUAAGUAACUGUGCACAUCUUGACGGUACCUAAUCAGAAAGCCACGGCUAACUACGUG
rnacentral:rRNA from 1 species